AUAUAAAACAAAAAAGUUCUAAUGCACCUUCUAUGUUUCCUUUUGUUUCCCAUCAAAUAAAUGUGAGAAGACACAAAACUUAAGUAUUUUACUUCUGUGGCUAUUGGGGGAAGAAGCUGAUGCUACAAAAAUACCUUUAAGUGUAUCCAACAUUCUGUGGCUGUUCUUCAUUCACGCAUUCACAAAUUCACUUAACAAAUGUUUAUAGAGCACCCGCUACUUGCCAGGAACUAUUCUAGGGAUUAAAGAUAGCUAAGUGUACAAAACUGACAAAGUUCCUAUUCUUGGGAGCUAACAUUCUAGUGGAGAGAGACACAGAAUGAACACAGCAUGAUUUCAGGACAUGAAACUUUGGAAUCAGGGUCGAAUCAGUUGGCAAUGUCACAGAUAUGGGGAGAAAAUACUGUCACGCUCAGGUGGGAUUAAACUCAAAUGUUACCUUUUUUUAAAUGACCCAUGGCCUCGCCCUGCCCCAUCCUGUGCCUAUAAAGGCCCUAGACUCAGCCAGCAGAGAGAAGCAGCUGGAUGCCAGGGACUACAAGUGGACCUCAGAAGGAAGUGGCUUGACUUUAGAGGGACAGCUUGAUGGUGUAACUUCAGAGAAGAAUCCAGCUGGAGAUGGCUGGAUUUCUGGGGAAGAUUACCUACCCACUUCCCCAUCCCCUUUACAGCUCCCCUUCCCACUAAGAGCUACUUUAUUGGCAAUAAAAUCCUCGAAUUUACCAUCCUUCAAUUUGUUCGUGCAGCCUCACUUUUCCU